UACGGAGGGUGCAAGCGUUAUCCGGAUUCACUGGGCUUAAAGGGUGUGCAGGCGGGCAGGUAAGUCAGUGGUGAAAUCUCCGAGCUUAACUCGGAAACUGCCAUUGAUACUAUUUGUCUUGAAUAUUGUGGAGGUAAGCGGAAUAUGUCAUGUAGCGGUGAAAUGCUUAGAUAUGACAUAGAACACCAAUUGCGAAGGCAGCUUACUACACAAUGAUUGACGCCGAGGCACGAAAGCGUGGGGAUCAAACAGG
rnacentral:rRNA from 1 species